AGCGGCGGACGGGUGAGUAACACGUGGGUAACCUGCCCAAGAGACUGGGAUAACACCUGGAAACAGAUGCUAAUACCGGAUAACAACACUAGACGCAUGUCUAGAGUUUGAAAGAUGGUUCUGCUAUCACUCUUGGAUGGACCUGCGGUGCAUUAGCUAGUUGGUAAGGUAACGGCUUACCAAGGCAAUGAUGCAUAGCCGAGUUGAGAGACUGAUCGGCCACAUUGGGACUGAGACACGGCCCAAACUCCUACGGGAGGCAGCAGUAGGGAAUCUUCCACAAUGGACGAAAGUCUGAUGGAGCAACGCCGCGUGAGUGAAGAAGGGUUUCGGCUCGUAAAGCUCUGUUGGUAGUGAAGAAAGAUAGAGGUAGUAACUGGCCUUUAUUUGACGGUAAUUACUUAGAAAGUCACGGCUAACUACGUGCCAGCAGCCGCGGUAAUACGUAGGUGGCAAGCGUUGUCCGGAUUUAUUGGGCGUAAAGCGAGUGCAGGCGGUUCAAUAAGUCUGAUGUGAAAGCCUUCGGCUCAACCGGAGAAUUGCAUCAGAAACUGUUGAACUUGAGUGCAGAAGAGGAGAGUGGAACUCCAUGUGUAGCGGUGGAAUGCGUAGAUAUAUGGAAGAACACCAGUGGCGAAAGGCGGCUCUCUGGUCUGCAACUGACGCUGAGGCUCGAAAGCAUGGGUAGCGAACAGGAUUAGAUACCCUGGUAGUCCAUGCCGUAACGAUGAGUUGCUAAGUGU
rnacentral:rRNA from 1 species